AAGCUGUCCAUGCAGGUGGAGCGGCUCCUCGGUGACGCAGACUUCGCCACAUGGGAGGUUUUGGAUGAAUUGGGGCUCUCGGAGAAACGCGUUCAGAGCGCGCACCUGCGUAAAGAGACCGGCGGUCCACCGUGAGGACACCGCGACUGGGGACAAAGUACUUGUCCGUCUGAGGAAACGGCCACCAAGGAAAGACCUGCUGAUUUUUAAACACCCACCCGGAGACACAUCUACUGGAUUAGGAACUAUGAAGUCCCUCUCCUCCUCCUCUUCCUCAGAGCAGCUGUGACCGCCGCCUGCAGACACUGACCGUCUCCGUCUACAUCAUACUUGUUGUCCUCUGGGAAACAUGACGUCCACUUUACAGGCUCUGGUCGUACUUCUGUCUGCCCUUUUCACCUGCUCUUUAACAGUGGAAUAUGAGGAAGACUACGAGGAUGUCACUGUGAACCAAAUGCUGGCUCCCAAAUCCCAGGAAACCGACGCCACAGAAAUACUCAACAAUUUACUCAAAGGAUAUGACAAGAAACUCAGACCGGAUAUUGGAGUUAAACCAACAGUGAUUGAUGUCGACAUAUUUGUGAACAGCAUUGGACCGGUGUCUUCUAUAAAUAUGGAGUACCAGAUUGACAUCAUCUUUGCCCAGACGUGGACAGACAGCCGCCUCAGAUAUAACAGCACAAUGAAAAUACUGACUUUAAACAGCAACAUGGUAGGACUUAUAUGGCUACCUGACACCAUCUUCAGAAACUCAAAGACAGCAGAUUCCCAUUGGAUCACAAUGCCCAACCAGCUGCUCAGGAUAUGGAAUGAUGGGAAGAUACUUUACACCUUAAGGUUGACUAUAAAUGCAGAAUGCCAGCUGCAGCUACACAACUUUCCGAUGGAUGAACACUCAUGUCCGCUCAUCUUCUCCAGCUAUGGAUACCCACAAAACGAGAUGAUUUACAAGUGGAGGAAGAAUUCUGUGGAGGCAGCUGACCAGAAGUCCUGGCGUCUGUACCAGUUUGAUUUUAUGGGCCUGAGAAACACAACAGAUAUAAUAAAGACUACAGCUGGAGACUAUGUGGUGAUGACGGUAUACUUUGACUUGAGUAGGAGAAUGGGCUACUUCACCAUCCAGACCUACAUCCCCUGUAUUCUCACAGUGGUCCUCUCUUGGGUGUCUUUCUGGAUCAAAAAGGAUGCCACUCCUGCCAGAACAGCUUUAGUCCAGUGGAGUUAGUGAAGGUAAUUCGCUUUUUCUCUGUUUUAUUUGACCCAUUGUUCAUGUAGGCACAACAGUUUUUAGGAACAGAACACACAAUGAUGAACACUGUUUUUGGUGAAUGUUGGUUUUUCUUAGUUAUUAUUGGGGUUAAAAAUGCAACACGGUCCUUCAGUCGCUCCUUCCUUUAUUACCACAUUCUGUUAGGUUGAUGGGUUGCCAUCCAUGAUGCUCAUUAGUGUUGGGUUGUGUUCAUGUUUUAAUAACAAAAACAUCCUCAAAGGUAUAUGCUAUUGCUGUUGCCAUAAGCUGUGCGACAUGUAAAUAAGGGCCUAAUGGGGAAUGGCCUGUGUUUAUGUAGAACCUUCCAGGGUUCUACAACUCCCCAAGGUGCUUUACAACAUAAUUCAAAUUCAAAUUCAAAAAUACUUUAUUAAUCCCAGAGGGAAAUUAACCAGUCAUUCACUCGUGCAGUCACACAUGCAGACGUAAUGCAUUUUUACUAUUAUACAUCAUAGAAAAGGUGCUCUCAAAAAAAAUUUUACAUUAUAUUUGCAUUUAUAAAACUUUGUUUAGAGAAUUGUCUUGUCACCUAAAAGUCUGAUAAUAAAAUCAGUACAUCAGUUUUAAAGGCAAUUUAAUUUUUCUCCUUAUCAUAUAACAGGUUUGUUUUAGGUCCUUGCAGACUAGCUUUCAGUUGAAGAGUCGAUUCAAAGCUGUACUUGUAAUUUAAAUAUAUGUCUGUGCUGUAAUUUAAAUAUGUGUCUGUUUUCUUUUUGGAUCAUUCUAAUCUUAAUGCAGCAUUCAGUCAUUGGUGGUCUUACUCUUUCUUUCAUCCAUCAUCUCCACUUCAAAAGUUACAGAAAUCCCACAAUAGAAUAGAAUAGGAUAGAAUAGAAUAGAAUAGAAUAGGAUAGAAUAGAAUAGAAUAGAUGGGUGGAUGUUAGGUUGGAUGCAGACAGGGAUAUGAGCUCACUAUGAUGUGAAAAUAACGUAUGCUUUGAGUCAGGUUUUAGCCUUUAACUGUGACAGAUACACUUAUAGCAUCAUUUAAAUAAAACACAUUAAUUUUUGUGUAUUUAUUAACAUUUACUGAACAUUUUGUGCCUUACAUGACACAAUAUCAUUCUUGUUUAUCAGCAGAGAUAAAUGCUUCCAGGUGUUUUACCUGCUGUUCAUUCUGUUGUUUAGAGCAAAAACUCUGAAUGUGUGUCAGCAUCAGCAGACAGUGAGGUCAUCACUGUUACAGGCAGAGCGGGUGAGGGAAAAGUGGGAGACGUCUGCCUGAAAUAGAUGAGGCCAGCUUGUUACCAUGGAAACAGCAUUGAAACAGUACAUUCUAUUUUCUUGUCUUGGUUGCAUUUUUUUAGCUCAUUGAUAAAAAAAAACUUGAAGGGGGAAAUUAGAAAUCAAUAUCAGAAGGUGUAAAAAAUCUCACCAUUACUACACCAUCAACCUAGCUGAUACCAGACUGCAUCGAUAACCUGCUGCUUACACCCACAAAUCAAAGACCCAGUGCCCUUUCUGGACAGUUUUAAACAAAGAUAAUCUUGUGUUGAGAAAUGAUGGAGUUAUAUUCGUUUAGACAAAUCUUAAUAAUAACUUCUUGUAUAAUCUUGUGCCAUUUUACAUUUUAGCGCUCAAAGUAUGUGCUGUAAUCGACUCUCAUCUACAAAGGUGAAGUUGCUGCUCAUCUGUAAAGAAUUGUUGCUGUUUUAGUGUUUUCUAAUGUUGAAUAGUUUUGGCAGCCAUCUUAAUUAAAGUUUCUUCAAAUGUUAAUCAGUUGUAAAUGACUAAUGAUGAAGAUGUUGAAAUCUUUAUUUUGAACUUUAAACAAUCAAAAACAUUUUUACAGGGCAAAAAACAAUAAGAAAAAUAGGAAAGUUAAUCGAGCCUAAAAAAUUGCACGUUCAAAAGUAAAGAUUUCAUUCUUCAUUAAAACCUGUUGGCUCGUCCCUCAAAAGUCUCAUACUGUAAAGAAAUGUGGAUAAUAACUAAAUCUCUUAAGUUGGUUAUAACAUUCUAAGGAAGCCUAAGGAGACCACUAGUUAUUAAAGGUUUUGACCAUAAGUAGCAGAAUAAAACUGAACUUUCAGUGAUGCCAUAAUAAGCUUUUCUUCUGCUCUUUCAGGAAUCACUACCGUCCUGACUAUGACCACUCUCAGUUCUGUAGCCAGGACGUCAUUACCCAGAGUGUCUUACGUCACCGCCAUGGACCUUUUUGUCACCGUUUGCUUCCUCUUUGUCUUUGCUGCCCUGAUGGAGUAUGCAACUUUAAAUUAUUACUCGUACAGCGUUCGAAGACCCAGCUACAUGGAACCCAAAAGACUGAGCUACCCCGUCCUGGACGUGAGACCUCCUCCUCAUACCGUCGUUGCUUU